rnacentral:rRNA from 1 species
CCCUUAGAUGUUCUGGGCCGCACGCGCGCUACACUGAUGCAUUCAACGAGUCUAAAACCUGGUCUGAUAGGGCUGGGUAAUCUUUUGAAAGUGCAUCGUGAUUGGGAUAGAUGAUUGCAAUUCUUCAUCUUCAACGAGGAAUGCCUAGUAAACGCAAGUCAUCAGCUUGCAUUGAUUACGUCCCUGCCCUUUGUACACACCGCCCGUCGCUCCUACCGAUUGAAUGAUCCGAUGAAUACCAUGGAUUGAGAGUACGAAUGGGUUCGCUCAUUUCUGCUGCUCGAGAAGUGGAGUAAAUCUUAUCGUUUAGAGGAAGGAGAAGUCGUAACA